CCUGUGUCUCUGCCUCUCUCCCUGUGUCUCUCACAAAUGAAUAAAUAAAAUCCUUAAAAUAGUAAAUAAAUAAAAUAAUUUGUCUUAUUACAAAAUACAUGCUUCUAAGUUAGAAAUCAGAUUAAAUAAAUAAAAUAACAGCCAUUAUCUCAACACCUCCAAAUAAACACAGUUAACACUUUCAGUGGACAUCCAGUUGUUUCUUUUUUUUUUCAUCCAGUUGUUUCUAAUUUGUCUUAAUAUGCCAAAUAUAUUUUAUAUGUCAUUAAGUAUUAUUCUAUAUUAUUUAAAAUACUGUACAGAUAUGCCAAAAAUCUUAAAAAUUAUUAUAACAAUUCCCUAUUUGGGGGCAUGUUGGUUAUUUUUUUUUAACUGUUAGAAAAAAUACUGUGAUAAAUGCAUUUUUAGCUACAUCUUCAUUCAUAGCCACAAUAAAUUCCUAAAAGUGUAGUUAUUAGGUCAAAGGUAUUCCAAAUUCGGUUUUCAUAUGCAUUGUCGGUAAUCUUUAGGAAAGGUUUUGCCAAUCUACAUUUCCAAUAGUUUAUGAGAGUAGCUAUACCCUUGUAUGUUCUGUAUCAAUUUCUCAGGAGAAAAAUCAUGUACUGUCAUUAUUUUAUGUGUGUGCCUUCAAUUACUAGUAAGUCCAUUUUUUUUCAUACAUUCAUUGGCCAUUUUUAUUUCUUCUUUGGGGACAUCCUGUUCAUAUCUAUUACCCAUUUAUCCUUACAGAUAUUUGUCUUUUGCUUUUGAAUUAUUUUCUAACAAAAUGCAACAUUUUCUUUUUAUGGCUUUUCACUUGCCUUUUAAUUUGGUAUAUGGUGAUUUUUAUGUAUAGUUCUUGUUGCUACGUUAUGUUCAACCUACCAAUCUUUAGAUUACAAAUAAGUUUGCUUAUAUUUUCUUCUACUACUCAUUGUUUCUUUUUUGAAAAAAAAUAUUUGAAUCUCUAAUGCACCUGGAAUUUAUUUUGGCACAAAUAUUAAGUAUAAAUUUAAUUCUAUUUUUUUCUCAAAUUGUUAGCUAUUUCAAACAGUACCUACCUUCUUUUUUUCAAAAGGAAAAGUUUGCUUUAUUUCUUAGUUAUAAACAAAAUGUAUUUACUAUAAAAUAUACAGUAAGACAAAAGAGUCGUAAUAGGUGAAAUAAGAUUGACAAAUGUUCUAAUAUAAUGGGUAUAAUAGGUAUUAUAAUAGGUACUUCUUAUAUUACACUCUAUAUACUAAAUCUGAAGUUUUUGCUAAAUGAAUAAAAACUAAAUGCAGAUUCACACAUGCAUAAAAUUCAAACUAAAGGCAUAAAGAAAAAAACACAAUAACCACUGCUAGCAUUUUAGUAUAUGUAGUUUCAAAUUAUUUAAUGUAUACACACACUCAUGGUCCCACUUUAUUAAAAUGGGAUCCUAUUAUACAUGAGAUUUUAUAAUCUACUUUUUAAACUAAACAGUAACAUCACAUACAUCUCUCCAGGCUAGUGAACAUUCCUAUCUUUGGUGGUAAAUACCUUUGUGUGUCCACUCAGACCACAAAUGACCCUCAGCUGUCCCCCACCCCACCCCACAAAAAGCCCAGGCAUUCCUAUUGUAACUUCCCACCCUGUCCCAGGGCCACAGUUGAUUGGAUCUUACUCAAUCUGGGCAAUCAGAUAUUCUUUGCUGGGAAUUUGGAAAUGGACUGGUCUCUUAAAAGGAAAAGGAAGAUCAAGGGCUACAGGGUAAGCAUCUUCUGCUGGCUUCCAUGUGGUUGAAAAGCAGAGAAAGUCUGCACUGAGUGACUAAAGCAGACAGAUGGAGAAACUGCAGCUCCCAGUUCCAAGUGCCCGUGAGCCCAUCACGCUCUUGCCCUAUGUACUGUGAGAUACCCCUGUACACUCCAUAUAUAUGCCCCCUAACUGCUGAAGUUAGCCAGAGAAGAGUUCUAGUUUGGGUCACUGACAGCCCUCUGUGCCCAAGUUCAAAUGGAAUUUAUUAAUACAUUUCAGGAACUGGAAAACCCUUGUGUGCAGCAUUUUCAAACUUGUGAUUUCUUUUCUUAUCAUUUGAAACAAAAUUUUUCCCUCCUCAAACUUGCUUCUCUUAGUCCUUAAAGAUCGGAAAUGUUGAGUGAGUGGUUGCUGAUCUGUAUUUUAGUCUUCAUCCAUCCAUCCAUUCAUUCAUUCACUCAUUCAUAAAGCAUUUACGAGGGCAGGCAGAGGGCUAUGUAAUGAGGAUACAGGGAUGAAUAAAUAAGUUUGGUAGAAUGCUUGUAUUCACAGAAUUUAUGAUCUAUGUUAUAGAUUUUUUGUUAUUUAUUUAUAAUCUAUUCCUAUUAUUAUAUAAGCUAUGUCAUAUUUAUAACCUAUGUCAAUUACCAAGCAAGCAAAUAAGCUGGAUAAUCCUGACUGUGUUAAGUGCCACGAACGGACCUCAAAGAGUUGAUCUGAUAGUGAUUAUGUAUAUACGUAUGAGGUCGCUCUGAGGAUAUGAUCUUGGGAGCUGAGAAAUGAAGGAGACAUCAUGUGGGGAGCUGGAGGGGAAAGCACUCCAGGUAAAGGAAUCAUAAACUCAAGAUCCCAAGGCAGGAAAAGGACUGGCAAGUUCAAGUAUCAGGAAGUAGCUGUGUGCAGGUUAGACUAGCAAGUCUGGGGGAGGCUGGUAAUGGAGACCAUUUGUAUUACAUUUCUAUAUUUAAAUUGUGAAGUAAGGGUGUGAGUAGAUUUCAAACCUCCAUAAAGACAAUUAUGAUUUGCAUGAAGUAUAAUUACAAAUGUUGGGAUCAUUUGCAUUACCCUGUGCUUAAUUAAUAAUGUCACGAGAAUAUUAUAAUUUGUUAUACUUUUUAAAUUUUUUUUUUUUAUUUUUAUUUUUAUUUUAUGAUAGUCACACAGAGAGAGAGAGACAGAGGCUGAGACACAGGCAGAGGGAGAAGCAGGCUCCAUGCACCGGGAGCCCGACGUGGGAUUCGAUCCCGGGUCUCCAGGAUCGCGCCCUGGGCCAAAGGCAGGCGCCAAACCGCGGCGCCACCCAGGGAUCCCCUUUUUAAAUUUUAGACUUAAAUACCUUCAGAAUUUGAAUUGGAAUGGCAUUUAGUUCUGAAUAGCUUAUUUUAUGUACCCAGUUAUUCCUAAGAAGUGUACAGUAUGAAGUCUACCUUCAUCAGGACCUAAACUGUGAUCAGAGCUCACUACAAAGCCCCAUGCCUAUUUCAAAAGAAUGUGAAUUUGGGAUUUCUUGUAAUUCUCCCCCAAAACAUCAACUCUGAUCAACAGUAUUCAAUGAUGACUACGUGAUGAUCAUUUCUGAUUAUAUCACCUAAAUGUGAGUUUGUUACCCUUAGAACAAGUAAAACCAGUGCCCAAUAUGGAUGUUAAUGCCACAAGAAAUACUAAACAAAUGGAUAAAAUGCCAAUAGUUUCUGAAAGUAGAAUCACUUACUUAGAUGAUUCUUCAAAUUGGUACUUUUGAAAAGAACAAUUGUGAGGUAUUGAGGUGGAUAUCAAAACUUAAAAAUGAUGGUUAUAAGUCAAGUAUGCUGAAGGAAUGAACGAACAAAAAACAAUCUUAAUCCUGGUUUAUCUUAAUUCCUGGUUUCACAAAUUUCCAGUAUUAACCUAAAUACCACAGAAUUAUCCGGAGACAACUAUAAUGACUCUUCUACUAGCUAAAUAACUACUACUUUUAGAAGAACAUUCAUGUUAAGCAUGGAGCAAUCUGCUCUGCUACAAGCUCCAUCACAAAUGGAGUAACACCAUUGACCUACAUUUUUGUUUCACAUGCACUAGACUCAUGUCCCCGGCUAUGAUAUAGUGGUCAACUGACACAUGUUUGUCAGAUUUCUCAACUGAACAAAUAUUUACUAUUGUUUGAUCCUAACAUGAAAGUCAAAAGUCAGACUUAUCUCAAAGCCUGGUUAGAGGCUAUUAAUGAUUAAGGGAGAGAAUGUGACAGAUCAUAUGCUUAGAUAACUAUUUUGUAGGGAGAAGUUCGGGAAGAGACAUUAACUCUUUCAAGGAAAACAGAAUGACUCACACAUUUAAUCUCUGGAUUAAUUCAGCAGGAUAAAAUAACUCAUAAGCCACUAGUUAAACCAUCUCUGACUAUUUACAACGAAAGGAUCUCACAAUAUCAAAAUGAAGAUAUUAUACGGUUUUAUUGAAACAUCAAUGCCAUUUAAUUAAAUUUAUCAUAAAUUAUUAGUAACUCCUGCUUUAAGGAAAAAUGUAAUCAUGGGUCAUAUUUUAAACAUAAGCAUGCUACAGAUGGCUAAUAGUCCACGCUUUUAAAACAACUGGUAUAAAAACCUGGAACACACUAAUUUAUGAAACAGGAACAUUGCGACUUGAAAGGGUUAAUGCAGCUCCCCUAACAUCUGCCUUAUAACCAGAGAGAAGUUUAUCCAUCAGAGUACUCUGGCUGAAUAAAAAUUGUAGAAGCUUCUCCAGAUUUCAAUUUUUAAAGAACGUUUCCGGAAGGAGAUAAGAUCUUCACUGAAAAGAAACACCAGCACCAUGACGGCCAGCACCAGGUGGAUGCUGUUCACCACUGUACCUCCAGUGCACAGCAGUGCCUCAAACAACGUCAACACUAAAUACGUAUCAACUGGGUAAAUGAAGAACUCCACUUUAGAACUCAGCGGCUCCCCACUGCCUGGCCAGGAAGAGCGAGCAUAGCAUUCUAGACUUCUCAUAAUCUGACCAUCAGGAUGCCUGCUCUUCAGAACAAAUUUCAAGGAGAGACUUUGGAAAUCUAGGUUGUAAAACCUUUGUUCAGGGGUUCUCAGGAGACCUUAAAGAAGUUCGUUCCUGUGAUACUGUCAUGUUCAAUGGACCAACUGGAGCACCCCAAAAAAUGUGGACCUGAGAUCUUCCACUCAUAGUUUCUGAAAAAAAUUAAAAUGAGUUUUUU